GCCCGGGUGGCGGAAUUGGUAGACGCACUACCUUGAGGUGGUAGCGCCGGCAUUUCGGUGUGCUGGUUCGAAUCCAGUCUCGGGCA
rnacentral:tRNA from 1 species